rnacentral:rRNA from 1 species
UACGUAGGGUGCAAGCGUUGUCCGGAAUUAUUGGGCGUAAAGAGCUCGUAGGCGGUCUGUCACGUCGGCUGUGAAAACCCGGGGCUCAACCCCGGGCCUGCAGUCGAUACGGGCAGACUAGAGUGCGGUAGGGGAGACUGGAAUUCCUGGUGUAGCGGUGAAAUGCGCAGAUAUCGGGAGGAACACCAGUAGCGAAGGCGACACUCUGGGCCGGUACUGACGCUGAGGAGCGAAAGCGUGGGGAGCAAACAGG